rnacentral:ncRNA from 1 species
UUAAUAUUAUACAGCUCAGGUUCCUUUGCUAGCGCAAAGGAAAAGAGGGAACCAGGUGAAAAUCCUGGACGGUCCGGCCACUGUAAGUGGGAGCUACCUGCAAGGUACGCCACUGGAGAAUAUCCGGGAAGGCAGCAGGUAAAGCGCUAAACCACAAGUCAGGAGACCUGCCUGUGCUUGAAGGCAGUU